rnacentral:lncRNA from 1 species
CUUUCAGCAGUUUAAAGGAUGCCAUGCCAUGGGGUUUUCAGUCCCCGUUGUUUCUCAUAAGCCCAUGAUCAUUCUUAUCCUUGUUCACUGCCUACUUAAUGUGAAGAUGAUGAAGAUGAAGACCUUUUGAAUGAUCUGGUUCCACUUAAUAUGUAGGUCUUGUUCUGUUGCCCAGCCGGGAGUACCCUGAGUUUUCUAUUUGCUUCAUAUAUCCCAAACUUGGAGCUUAAGAAGUAAACAACACAGAAAUACCAAUGCAUUACAUGGUAAGCAAAAAUAUUCUUAACAAAGCAUGCUUUCUAUAAUAACUAAAGGACCAAAAAGGGUCAACCUAAUAAGACGAACUUCUAGACAGUAACCACUAUUCCAGGUAAAUAACAGAGGAAACAUUGUGAACGCAGGCACCUCUAUUCCUGCAAAAGCCAAGUGGGGAGCCUAGGUUUUUACCUUUUUGAGAUUCUAAUGAAGUACCCCAAUCUCCACACUGGGAUAGUGUCAAAAAAAGGGCAAGGAGGGAACCAGGAGUUUUAUUAUCACUGAGUUCCAUUUCUGUUCUUAGUGUCAGUGGAGAACACAUGGGAAUUCUGGACUUCCA